rnacentral:rRNA from 1 species
CCUGAGAAACCCAAAAGUUCGAAUGGAGAGAUUCAUCGUCAGCGAUCCUGGCAAUUGUGCGGUUCGCGAUGCCGGGAGACUACGGUCUCGUUGCACGCGUCCGUAUGAUUUAUUUGCCGGUUGUCGUCGUCGUGCACUUCUCCCCUAGUAGGACUGUCGCGACCCGUUGGGUGUCGGUCUACGAUCCGGGUGGGUGCCCGUCACGUGUUACGCUUUACGGCGUCAUGUGGCAGACCCCCGGUUUUCUGACCAGCUGCCCGGCGGUACUCGCACGGUAUUGAGUCGCAAAUAUUUGAACUGCGUCCGGCCCGCCGCAAGCGAGGCCAGUGUUACCCGGAUGUACGGACUUAGCGCCGUCACCGGGCCUGGCCAGCUGUUGGCCGGCGGUGUCCUGGGACUGGCUCUAAAUAAAAUACCGGUCGGCGACGCUACUGCUUUGGGUACUUUCAGGACCCGUCUUGAAACACGGACCAAGGAGUCUAACAUGUGCGCGAGUCAUUGGGAUCUGUUAAGCCUAAAGGCGCAAUGAAAGUGAAGGUAGGCCUUGCGCCAACCUA